AUGGGACAGGUCACAUCCUUCAGGCUGGUAUGUCUACUGCAGGUAUCCAAACAUUGUAAUGAAAUCACCUCCCUUUCUUUAUUUCCAGACGAAACAUAUUUAACUUUGAAGUCCCUUCUUCAGAAGGUAGAGCUUCUCUUCCUUUGCUUAUCCCGUUAUUUCCCUAAAACCUGGAUGUGGUUUUCAAGAGUCAUCCAAGUCAAGAUGGGAAGACAAAAGUUAAGAUAACUGAUGACAGCCUGGGAUGCGAUGCCUGACCUUGGUGACUUCAGUGUCUGACCAAGUCCCAAGCACUCCACAAUGCUUGCUUCAGUUGCCUUCAUGUCUACUGGAACAAAUUGUUCUUGUCUGCCCAUU
rnacentral:lncRNA from 1 species